GCCGGAGUGGCGGAAUUGGCAGACGCGCAUGGUUCAGGACCAUGUGGAGAUAGCUCCAUGGGGGUUCGAGUCCCUCCUCCGGCACCA
rnacentral:tRNA from 1 species